rnacentral:lncRNA from 1 species
CAAGAGAAGAAGCGUCUUUCACCAAUGAAUUCACCCAAGAAACAUCUGGCUCAUCAGCAACGUAUGGAGUCAUAUUCGGAUUACUGUUUGCAGAAUUUGCACGAGGAAACCCAAAAGACAUUGAUUUCGUUAGCUUGUGCAGAUCAUCUCCUUGGUAUCCCCAAUCCGGCUUUCCACCAGAGGAACUCCAAUCUGAUAAUUUAGAAGACAUCAUUGUUGUUGAAUUUGCAGCGGAUGAGGUAAAGCCUGGAGGUGGGUGGCUCACAGCUCCACGGUCAAUAAAGCUAUGGCUUCGACUUUCAAAUGCUGAUGACCUUGCAUUCAUUACUGCAGCUGAAGAAUCAAAGGCAUGUGCAGGUACUUCUCUAGACGGAGAGGACAUCAUGUUGGACAUGUGGCUUGACCUGAUUUGUUGGUUCAUGUUUUGGCUACGCAAUUGAUGAGCAGUUGGAGAUUGCAUUCGGGGUGACAAAUAUGAUGAAUCAACAGAUCCAAAAACAUCAUCAAGAUUGGUACCAUUCAUAUCCCCAAACCGAUUAUUGUUCCACAUGGGUUUGGCAGACAUACUAGCAAAGUUCUCAAACUUCUGUUGUCUAUGCUGCUGAAUACGCACACUAUCAAGUCCAAGUAAUUCCCUUUCCAGCUCUAUUUCUCUAGCAUUUAAACCUGCCUUCAAUCUGCUACUCUGAAGCUGCAUCUUAGGCGGUGAACGUGUCACAUUGUUUUGCCACGAAUUCCCACUCAUUGGCGAUGAACAGGCUACAACUGGAGUCCCUGGAGGUGGAGUUGAAGGUACAUUAGAAGAUGGCAUAGCCGAACCAGUUGAAGCAUACACCGGCCUCAACUCCUCCUUCUUAUGUGCAAAAAAGCACACUUUCCUCCCACACCCCACCUCAUCCUUACAAAGCCUAGUCUUAUACUGAGCCGGAUGCAGCCAAGACUCGAAAACCCCAUGUGCAUACUCACACUCAUCCCCCUUCACACAACUCCCUUUCUUAAACUCCAAACACGGCACACAACUAUAACUAUACUUGCUCAAAUCACGCCUCCUCGCAUUCUCACCAGGAUGAACAAAAGGACACUCAGUCCAAUCAUGCGUAUACGCCCUGGAACAAGGCUUCACCUUAAAACUAUACAUCCUAAACUCAUCACUUCCAUACACUCCAACAUUCAUAUCAGGCAACACUACCUCACUCACACACUCCUUUUCAACACACUGCGGAAUCUCAGUCUCUACACCCUCAAACCCUCCUAGCAAAAUCUCAAGUUGUUUCCUUUUCGACAACCCCAUAAAUUUCCCAUUCAAUGGGAUCACAUCACAAGGCCUUUUCCCAUUAAUAUCAACACA